rfam:Gossypium hirsutum cultivar TM-1 chromosome 24, whole genome shotgun sequence
UUUUAAUAAUUUCAUCCAUUUCUACUGAUAAAAAUUGGCAUGACUGACAAAAUAACUAAAUAGUUACAUGUGACAUGCCAUAUGUACCUCAUUUUGACAUACAAAGACUAGUUUUAACAAUAGAAAUGGAUGAAAUUUUUAUCA